AAACCAUGAUUCGGGCUGUCCUGCAAAUACUCCUUGAAUCUCUCCCAUGCUUCAUAUAGUUGUUCCCCCGGUCGCAGCUUAAAUUCAUAUAUAUUAUCACGAAUUUU